rnacentral:rRNA from 1 species
CGCGUAGGCGGUUCUUUAAGUUAGGAGUGAAAGUCCAGCUUUUAAGGUUGGAAUUGCUUUUAAUACUGGAGGGCUUGAGUGCAGAAGAGGUAAGUGGAAUUCCCAGUGUAGCGGUGAAAUGCGUAGAGAUUGGGAAGAACACCAGUGGCGAAGGCGACUUACUGGGCUGUAACUGACGCUGAGGCGCGAAAGCGUGGGGAGCGAACAG